rnacentral:rRNA from 1 species
GAUGAACGCUAGCGGCAGGCUUAAUACAUGCAAGUCGAGGGGCAGCACGGGUAGCAAUACCUGGUGGCGACCGGCAAACGGGUGCGGAACACGUACGCAACCUUCCCAUAACUGGUGAAUAGCCUUUCGAAAGAGAGAUUAAUACACCGUAACAUAAUGAAGAGGCAUCUCUUUAUUAUUAUAGGCAGCAAUGUCGGUUUUGGAUGGGCGUGCGCCUGAUUAGGUAGUGGCGGGGUAACGGCCCACCAAGCCUGCGAUCAGUAACUGGUGUGAGAGCACGACCAGUCACACGGGCACUGAGACACGGGCCCGACUCCUACGGGAGGCAGCAGUAAGGAAUAUUGGUCAAUGGACGCAAGUCUGAACCAGCCAUGCCGCGUGAAGGAUGACGGCCCUCUGGGUUGUAAACUUUCUUUAUCUGGGAACGAAAAGCUCAUUCUGAGCACUUGACGGUACCAGAGGAAUAAGCACCGG